rnacentral:rRNA from 1 species
UAGGGAAUCUUGGACAAUGGGCGAAAGCCUGAUCCAGCCAUGCCGCGUGAGUGAAGAAGGCCUUAGGGUUGUAAAGCUCUUUUAGCGGGGAAGAUAAUGACGGUACCCGCAGAAUAAGCCCCGGCUAACUUCGUGCCAGCAGCCGCGGUAAUACGAAGGGUGCAAGCGUUGUUCGGAAUUACUGGGCGUAAAGCGCACGCAGGCGGAUUGAUAAGUCAGGGGUGAAAUCCCGGGGCUCAACCUCGGAAUUGCCUUUGAUACUGCCAGUCUUGAGUCCGGGAGAGGUGAGUGGAAUUCCUAGUGUAGAGGUGAAAUUCGUAGAUAUUAGGAAGAACACCAGUGGCGAAGGCGGCUCACUGGCCCGGUACUGACGCUCAGGUGCGAAAGCGUGGGGAGCAAACAGGAUUAGAUACCCUGGUAGUCCACGCCGUAAACGAUGGAUGCUAGCCGUUGGGGAGCUUGCUCUUCAGUGGCGCAGCUAACGUCUUAAGCAUCCCGCCUGGGGAGUACGGUCGCAAGAUUA